AGGGGUUUGAUCAUGGGCUCAGGAUGAACGCUAGCGGUGUGGAUAAGGCAUGCAAGUCAAGGGAUUCCACUUCGGUGGAAGACCGGCAAACGGGUUAGUAACACGUAGAUACAUACCGCCUACACAGGCAUAACUCCGCGAAAGCGGGGCUAAUUCCUGAUAGUCCCUGUCUUCGGACAGGGUAAAGGUUUCGAGCAAUCGAUUCCAGUAGGUGAAUGGUCUGCGGCUUAUCAGCUUGUUGGUGGGGUAAUGGCCUACCAAGGCAAUGACGGGUAGGGGACAUGAGAGUGUGUUCCCCAACAACGGGACUGCGACACGGCCCAUACUCCUACGGGAGGCAGCAGUCGAGAAUAUUUCGCAAUGGGCGAAAGCCUGACGAAGCGACACCGCGUGUUUGAAUAAGCCCUUAGGGGUGUAAAGAACUUUUCUCCAUGAACAAGCUUCGGCUGAGUGUAGUGGAGGAAUAAGAGGAGGCUAAUCACGUGCCCAGAAGCCUCGGUAAUAC
rnacentral:rRNA from 1 species